rnacentral:rRNA from 1 species
AGUUUGAUCAUGGCUCAGAUUGAACGCUGGCGGCAUGCCUUACACAUGCAAGUCGAACGGCAGCACGGGAGCUUGCUCCUGGUGGCGAGUGGCGAACGGGUGAGUAAUACAUCGGAACGUACCCUGAAGUGGGGAGUAACGUAGCGAAAGUUACGCUAAUACCGCAUAUUCUGUGAGCAGGAAAGAGGGGGAUCGCAAGACCUCUUGCUUUAGGAGCGGCCGAUGUCGGAUUAGCUAGUUGGUGAGGUAAAGGCUCACCAAGGCGACGAUCCGUAGCGGGUCUGAGAGGAUGAUCCGCCACACUGGGACUGAGACACGGCCCAGGCUCCUACGGGAGGCAGCAGUGGGAAUUUUGGACAAUGGGCGCAAGCCUGAUCCAGCCAUGCCGCGUGAGUGAAGAAGGCCUUCGGGUUGUAAAGCUUCUUUCGGUGGGGAAGAAAUUGCUUCGGUUAAUACCUGGAGUAGAUGACGGUACCCGCAUAAGAAGCACCGGCUAACUACGUG